rnacentral:rRNA from 1 species
AGUGAACGCUGGCGGUAGACCUAACACAUGCAAGUCGAACGGCAGCACAGUAAGAGCUUGCUCUUACGGGUGGCGAGUGGCGGACGGGUGAGGAAUACAUCGGAAUCUACUUUUUCGUGGGGGAUAACGUAGGGAAACUUACGCUAAUACCGCAUAUGACCUACGGGUGAAAGCAGGGGAUCUUCGGACCUUGCGCGAUUGAAUGAGCCGAUGUCGGAUUAGCUAGUUGGCGGGGUAAUGGCCCACCAAGGCGACGAUUCGUAGCUGGUCUGAGAGGAUGAUCAGCCACACUGGAACUGAGACACGGUCCAGACUCCUACGGGAGGCAGCAGUGGGGAAUAUUGGGCAAUGGGCGCAAGCCUGAUCCAGCCAUACCGCGUGGGUGAAGAAGGCCUUCGGGUUGUAAAGCCCUUUUGUUGGGAAAGAAAAGCAGCAGGUUAAUACCCCGCUGUUCUGACGGUACCCAAAGAAUAAGCACCGGCUAACUUCGUG